CCUACGGGUGGCAGCAGUGAGGAAUAUUGGUCAAUGGGCGGAAGCCUGAACCAGCCAAGUCGCGUGCAGGAUGACGGCUCUACGGGUUGUAAACUGCUUUUAUACGGGAAUAACGCGCCUUACGUGUUGGGCUUUGCAUGUACCGUAUGAAUAAGGACCGGCUAACUCCGUGCCAGCAGCCGCGGUAAUACGGAGAGUCCGGGCGUUAUCCGGAUUUAUUGGGUUAAAAGGGUGCGUAGGUGGAAAAUCAAGUCAGCGGUAAAAAUUCGGGGCUCAACCACGUCGUGCCGUUGAAACUGAUGUUCUUGAGUGGGCGAGAGGUAUGCUGAAUGCGUGGUGUAGCGGUGAAAUGCAUAGAUAUCACGCAGAACUCCGAUUGCGAAGGCAGCAUACUG
rnacentral:rRNA from 1 species